rnacentral:rRNA from 1 species
AGUUCGGAUUGUAGGCUGAAACUCGCCUACAUGAAGCUGGAAUCGCUAGUAAUCGCAGAUCAGAAUGCUGCGGUGAAUACGUUCCCGGGUCUUGUACACACCGCCCGUCACACCAUGGGAGUCGGAAAUGCCCGAAGCCGGUGACCCAACCAAAAGGAGGGAGCCGUCGAAGGCAGGUCUGAUAACUGGGGUGAAGUCGUAACAAGGUAGC